rnacentral:rRNA from 1 species
UGGCGGCGUGCCUAACAAUGCAAGUCGCACGUCCUCUCUUUCCUUCGGGGGAGAGAGGGAGUGGCGGACGGGUGAGUAACACAUGGGUGACCUGGCCUGAAGUGAGGGAUACCGGCGAGAAAUCGCCGACAAACCCGCAUAAGCUCUUUGUCGUAGGGGGUAGAGAGCAAAGCCCGCAAGGGUGCUUUGGGAUGGGCCUGUGGCCGAUUAGCUAGUUGGGGGGGUAAGCGCCUCCCAAGGCGACGAUCGGUAGCUGGUCUGAGAGGACGAACAGCCACACUGGGAUUGAGAACGGCCCAGACUCCUACGGGGGGCGGCAGUGAGGAAUUUUCCGCAAUGGACGAGAGUCUGACGGAGCAACGCCGCGUGCAGGAGGACGCUUUUCGGAGUGUAAACUGCUUUUCCCAGGGACGAGGACGGACGGUACCUGGGGAAGAAGCCCCGGCUAACUACGUGCCAGCAGCCGCGGUAAUACGUAGGGGGCGAGCGUUGUCCGGAGUUACUGGGCGUAAAGGGCAUGCAGGCGGUCUGACGCGUGUGCUGUGGCAGCGGCUGGCUUAACUAGCCGAGCAUAGGACAGACGGUUGGACUUGAGGGCUCGAGAGGGACACAAAAUUCCGGGUGGAGUGGUG